GAGAAAUUAGUUAAAAAUAAUAUAGAGUUGUCAUCUCUAAGUUACUAUUUUAUUAGUAUUUCUCU
rnacentral:tRNA from 1 species